GUUCUGGCUUCGGAGAGCAGGCUCCAUGUGCCCCCACGCCCACCCCCAACCCCAGUCAUGGUCGUCUUGGGCCCUGAGACCUGCCCCCACCCCUGUGUGACCCAAAGCUGUCCGAAGCAGCCUCCCUUGAGAGCCCAGGGCUUCCAGACACCCCGGGGUGAGCUGCGUUGCAUUUCCAGACCCUGGAGGAACGAUGUGGGUGUUUGGUGAUAUUGCAGUGGCCGUGGACUCAGCCACACCGGGCUGAAGCCAGACCAUCGCUCACACAAGGGAGCCCCUCCGCUGAAUCUGGGACCUGCUGCCGGCCCAUCUCCAGCCUCCACGGUCACGUACAGCAUAGGGGAUCUUGGUUCCUCAGCCAGGGAUCGAACCCUCAUUCCCUACAUUCUUAACCACUGGGCCACCAGGGAAGUCCCUCUGCUAUUUCUUAGAAGCAGCAGAUGGAUUCCCCUCCCCAGUAAAGGAAUAAUUGUACAUUUGGUGUCUGAGUGUUUAUUGUAAUCAACCAAGAUUACCAAGAGGAAUGCAACCAGUUUUACCUUUACCCAAAGGAGGUUUAUGUCAAGUAACAAAUUUUUACUAAAAGUUUAACUGCUUUAAGUAUAACUCUCAACAUAUAGUU